UCCCUGGUGGCCCAAAGUUUAGGACUCUGAACUUUAACUGCUGAGGGCCUGGGUUCAAUCCCUGGUCAGGGAA
rnacentral:tRNA from 1 species